AUACGGAGGGUGCAAGCGUUACUCGGAAUCACUGGGCGUAAAGCGCGCGCAGGCGGCCAUUUAAGUUGGAUGUGAAAGCCUACGGCUCAACCGUAGAACUGCAUCCAAAACUAUUUGGCUAGAGUGUGGGAGAGGAAGAUGGAAUUAGUUGUGUAGGGGUAAAAUCCGUAGAGAUAGCUAGGAAUACCAAAAGCGAAGGCAAUCUUCUGGAACACUACUGACGCUGAGGCGCGAAAGCGUGGGGAGCAAACGGGAUUAGAAACCCCAGUAGUCC
rnacentral:rRNA from 1 species